rnacentral:tRNA from 1 species
GCGGGUAUGGCGGAACUGGCAGACGCACUGGAUUUAGGUUCCAGCGAGGUAACUCGUGUGGGUUCGACUCCCUCUACCCGCACCA